rnacentral:rRNA from 1 species
UACGAAGGGGGGCUAGCGUUGCUCGGAAUCACUGGGCGUAAAGGGUGCGUAGGCGGGUCUUUUAAGUCAGGGGGUGAAAUCCUGGAGCUCAACUCCAGAACUGCCUUUGAUACUGAGGAUCUUGAGUUCGGGAGAGGUGAGUGGAACUGCGAGUGUAGAGGUGAAAUUCGUAGAUAUUCGCAAGAACACCAGUGGCGAAAGGCGGCUCACUGGCCCGAUACUGACGCUGAGGCACGAAAAGCGUGGGGAGCAAACGGGG